ACAUCAAGAACCCCAGUCAGCUGGGUGUGCUGGUACUGGUCUGGGGACAGAAGGUGCGAGAGCAGAGAGAGGAUACCUAGAUGUGUCAUUUUCCAUUUGUCUUGGGGCCUGUCUCUACAGCUCUGCCACACUU